rfam:Myotis lucifugus cont2.26154, whole genome shotgun sequence.
GCCAAUUUGGCUCAGUGGAUAGAGUGUCGGUCUGCGGACCAAAGGGUUCCAGGUUCGAUUCCGGUCAAUGGCA